AUGGAGAAUCAGUACAUUCUGGGAAGUUCUGUAUUUUCUGCGAGCUUGAAUGACCUGCCGAGGUCCCUAACUGGCCCCAGGUUUCUCAAGGCAUCUGAGCUUCAAUUUGGAAAUCCCUCUUUCCUGAUAUCUCUGAAAUCGAAACCAAAACCUGAGCCUGAUCAAUGCCUGUCGAUGUCCGCUCCCGGCCGGCAGGAAGGACACACGACAAAGUCUGGUAGUGGACAACCUUUUCUUUUUAUUUUCCUUCUCCGUACAGCCUGCCCUGGGUUCUCCCAGCUGAAGCCUCCUCUGGUCCGCUCCCCGCGGCUCCUUUUGUGCUUCAGUCUGCCCCAAAGCCUCUACCGGUCCGCUCUCCACGGCUCCUUUUGGGCUUUUACUUCUGGGCUUCUACCUGGCUUCUUCUUCCGCCCAGGGGUGGCACCGGUAUAUAUACGGGUACAGUGUCCAAUCAUAUUAAAGUAAGCAAGGCAAGCUGAUUGGCUAACAUCAUCAGUUGCCAGGCAGACUAUAUUGUUGAGCGGGUUGUUUACGCGGUAAGCAGGAAACUAACAUAUUCGAUGGGAGGGGUAAUCUACCUCAGGCUUUGCUCUUUACCACAGGCCGCACGUCCGCCAAGUGAGGCGAGCUAUCACAGACGCGGCUCCCAACAUCUCCCCCUAUUUUAUUUUUUAUGAAUGUGCGCAUCGUAGCCCUUCCUGGACUGGGUGCAGAGGCUUAUGCCCUAUGUGUAGGUCCACCGUAGGUCCUUGGCUUAGACCCUGGUUGGCCAUGCCAUGGUCUGCCAAGGCCCUGAGGCCCUCGUGCUUUUUCUAGGGCCAGGCACAAACUGGACGGAACCUGGAUGCACACAAGCUUGCACUCAUUUCCUCUCCGUAAAGAAAUCCCCUCGGAGAGAAAUUUAGACCUGGGCAGCAUCUAACAGUCCAGCGGCUUACGUGCAGGAUGGGGUAGGGCCUGGCUUAGGUCGAGUCGUGCUGGGGAGGUACGCUCUUACCCGUCAUUGACUCACCUACCCUGCUGUGUAUUGUCACCUUAUGGAGGAGAAUGAGGGAUGCCCGCCAUAUCUAGACUCGGUCGUGGGCCAAUUGAGCAAGCCAUGCAUAUGCCUGAGGAUCUUCUUGUCCAUUUCGGGCUACCGCUAUUUUUAUUCAUCUUAUUGGUUGGUCUGUGAUGGAUCUCCAGUAGGGCAGGUCUGAUCUUCAGUCGAGGGCUUUGUUGCCCGUGUCAGUCUCUCCGGUAUCCACAGUGGUUCUCGUCCCGGUUCCUGUGGGAAAACACAAACCGCGCCUCGGUUCCAGCUGACCACUGGAUCCGGGCCCAUCCAUUGUCCUGUCAUAGAUAACCGCGCCUUUGGGGGCAGGCCUUGGCUUA
rnacentral:lncRNA from 1 species